rnacentral:rRNA from 1 species
GACGAACGCUGGCGGCGUGCCUAAUACAUGCAAGUUGAGCGCUGAAGGUUGGUACUUGUACCAACUGGAUGAGCAGCGAACGGGUGAGUAACGCGUGGGGAAUCUGCCUUUGAGCGGGGGACAACAUUUGGAAACGAAUGCUAAUACCGCAUAAAAACUUUAAACACAAGUUUUAAGUUUGAAAGAUGCAAUUGCAUCACUCAAAGAUGAUCCCGCGUUGUAUUAGCUAGUUGGUGAGGUAAAGGCUCACCAAGGCGAUGAUACAUAGCCGACCUGAGAGGGUGAUCGGCCACAUUGGGACUGAGACACGGCCCAAACUCCUACGGGAGGCAACAGUAGGGAAUCUUCGGCAAUGGACGAAAGUCUGACCGAGCAACGCCGCGUGAGCGAAGAAGGUUUUCGGAUCGUAAAACUCUGUUGGUAGAGAAGAACGUUGGUGAGAGUGGAAAGCUCAUCAAGUGACGGUAACUACCCAGAAAGGGACGGCUAACUACGUG